AUGCAGCAACUUCAGGUACGGCAAAGGAAGGACAGUCACUGAUGGGAGGAGGAUUCGGUAUUCGUUUUUGGAUUCGGCAGAAUCUUAACCAUUGGAUUCAGUAUUCGGCCGAAACCCUAAAAUCUGGAUUCGGUGCAUCCCUAG